GCUCCACACCUCGUCCCUCUCAGAUUUUGGAAGGCACUUCAGAUUCUUAAAUCUUGGGUCGAGUGCUGUAGCUAUCUUUAGAAAUCUCACAUUGGUACCUUCUUUGUGUUUUGUCAAAUCCGCAGUGAAAGUGUUUGUAAAAAAUAACAU